rnacentral:rRNA from 1 species
CUGUGGAGCUUUAGACACCAAGACAACUCAUGUUAAGUACCCCUAGACAAAGGACUGAACUUAAUGAAACCUUGAUCUGAUGUCUUUGGUUGGGGCGACCACGGGGAGAGAAAAAACCCCCACGUGGAACGGGAGCACUGCUUCCCCCACAACUAAGAGCGACAGCUCUAAGCAACAGAACAUCUGACCUUAAGAUCCGGCUCUUCCUGCCGAUUAACGGACCGA